AGUGAACGCUGGCGGUAGGCCUAACACAUGCAAGUCGAACGGCAGCACAGUAAGAGCUUGCUCUUACGGGUGGCGAGUGGCGGACGGGUGAGGAAUACAUCGGAAUCUACUUUUUCGUGGGGGAUAACGUAGGGAAACUUACGCUAAUACCGCAUACGACCUACGGGUGAAAGCAGGGGAUCUUCGGACCUUGCGCGAUUGAAUGAGCCGAUGUCGGAUUAGCUAGUUGGCGGGGUAAAGGCCCACCAAGGCGACGAUCCGUAGCUGGUCUGAGAGGAUGAUCAGCGACACUGGAGCUGAGACACGGUCCAGACUCCUACGGGACGCAGCAGUGGGGAAUAUUGGACAAUGGGCGCAAGCCUGAUCCAGCCAUACCGCGUGGGUGAAGAAGGCCUUCGGGUUGUAAAGCCCUUUUGUUGGGAAAGAAAGGCAGCAGGUUAAUACCCCGCUGUUCUGACGGUACCCAAAGAAUAAGCACCGGCUAACUUCGUG
rnacentral:rRNA from 1 species